CUCUCUCUCUCUCGAAACUCACUCCUUCCUUGUCGAAGUAUUUUCGCGCCUUUUUGAGUUGCGUUUGCCUUUUGCUAUAUAGUUAUUGGACUUGAUCUUUUUGUCUAAUGCAGUCGCAAGCUUGCAAGGGUUAGUUUCAGUUCAUCACGUAUUGAAUACAGAGUAUAUUUCCUGUUUCCAGUGUUUUAUCCAGGCAUUUAUUUGUUUUGAAGUCACGUGAUCUUCUAUCAUCAAUGAGACGUAUGUCGCGUCAUGCGCCGAUAAAGCUUCGGAAGGGCGCACAAUCAUGAGUAUCAUGGUGAAGCUGGUGACCCUUCCUCACCAUCCAAAGCAAGGACGACCAUAAGAGAGAGAAAAACCUUUCAAGGACCUUCUGAUAACUGAAGUUAUGAUUGCAGCUGCUACAAACCGGUGCUGGCCGAAGGCAGAAUUGAAGCAGGUCUAGUUGAAAGCGGCUACGUGGCUUGCACAAGCCCAAUCCAAGUUGGACAAAAUGAAUCAGCCAUCAACACCAGCUACAAUAACAAUAUUCGACAUCGAUUGUGAAGAUGAACCUCUCGAAUAGAUAAGAAUAUAAUAGUAGUGACAGAAAAGAUCAUAAAACGUGUCUACAUGUUCAAUUUACUGAUAUCAUAAACAAUAAAUUAGUAAUUGAUUAUAA